rnacentral:rRNA from 1 species
UACGUAGGUGGCAAGCGUUGUUCGGAAUUAUUGGGCGUAAAGGGCGCGUAGGCGGUUUGUUAAGUCAGCUGUGAAAGCCCGGGGCUCAACCCCGGAGGGUCAGCUGAUACUGGCAGACUAGAGGCAUGCAGGGGAGAACGGAAUUCCUGGUGUAGCGGUGAAAUGCGCAGAUAUCAGGAGGAACACCGGUGGCGAAGGCGGUUCUCUGGGCAUGUCCUGACGCUGAGGAGCGAAAGUGUGGGGAGCGAACAGG